UACGUAGGGUGCAGGCGUUAAUCGGAAUUACUGGGCGUAAAGCGUGCGCAGGCGGUCUGCUAAGAGAGAUGUGAAAUCCCCGGGCUUAACCUGGGAACUGCGUUUCUAACUGGCAGGCUUGAGUGUGGCAGAGGGGGGUGGAAUUCCACGUGUAGCAGUGAAAUGCGUAGAGAUGUGGAGGAACACCGAUGGCGAAGGCAGCCCCCUGGGCUAACACUGACGCUCAUGCACGAAAGCGUGGGGAGCAAGCAGG
rnacentral:rRNA from 1 species